AGCCCAACCCCUGGGUGCGCGCGGCGGUGGUGGCGGCGGCCGAGCCUCGCUUUGAGAGACAGAAUGGACAGCAAAUUAUGGAUGAACCUAUGGGAGAGGAGGAGAUUAACCCACAAACCGAAGAAGUCAGUAUCAAAGAAAUUGCAAUCACACAUCAUGUAAAGGAAGGACAUGAAAAGGCAGAUCCUUCCCAGUUUGAACUUUUAAAAGUAUUAGGGCAGGGAUCAUUUGGAAAGGUUUUCUUAGUUAAAAAAAUCUCAGGCUCUGAUGCUAGGCAGCUUUAUGCCAUGAAGGUGUUGAAGAAGGCCACACUGAAAGUUCGAGACCGAGUUCGGACAAAAAUGGAACGUGAUAUCUUGGUAGAGGUUAAUCAUCCUUUUAUUGUCAAGUUGCAUUAUGCUUUUCAAACUGAAGGGAAGUUGUAUCUUAUUUUGGAUUUUCUCAGGGGAGGAGAUUUGUUUACACGCUUAUCCAAAGAGGUGAUGUUCACAGAAGAAGAUGUCAAAUUCUACUUGGCUGAACUUGCACUUGCUUUAGACCAUCUACAUAGCCU
rnacentral:sRNA from 1 species